GACGAACGCUGGCGGCGUGCCUAAUACAUGCAAGUCGAGCGAACGGACGAUGAGCUUGCUUCUCUCUUGUUAGCGGCGCACGGGUGAGUAACGCGUGGAUAAUCUACCUAUAAGAGGGGGAAAACUUCGGGAAACCGGCGCUAAUACCGUAUGAUAUCUUGAACCAUAGGGUUCAAUAGUGAAAGACGGUCUUGCUGUAUCUAAUCGCUGGUUCCCGGCUUCUUUAGCUGGUUGUUACGGUAACGGCCUACCAAGGCAACGAUGCGUAACCGACGUGAGAGGGUGAUAGCCGACACGGGAACUGAGCCCGGCACAAGCGUCCUACGGGAGGCACCAGAAGGGAACCUUAGGCAAUGGGCGAAAGCAUGACGGAGCACGGCGGAGCGUGUGAGAAAGGUCUUGGGUUCGUAAAAACGGCUUAUUAGGGAAGAACAUAUUUGGAAGUAAAUGUGCACCGAGUGACGGUAACUAAUCAGAAAGCAACGGCUAACUACGUG
rnacentral:rRNA from 1 species